ACAAGUACUCCUUUUUCUUUUUGCGGAUACAGACUAACACGGCUGCUACUCUGAAACCUGUCUCUGUUUAGUCCAGGAUUUUUGAUGUCUAGCGGAGUAAUCAAUUUAAGCUCCCAGGCUUUUCUUUUGAAAGUAUUGUGCAGGUUUCCUUUGAUGAGGACUGAUAGGUCAGGUAUAGAGUGAUAGCUUUGUGAAAAGUGUUCACCCACAACUAGUUAACUUUCAGUGUUUUCUUAAAAGGAGCUCCUAUGGCAGAGAGGUGUUUUGGUCCCUGGUAUGUGGUUUAGAUGAGAACUCUUGAAAAAAAAACACAGAGAAUUCGAAGUUGUAUACUCAGUUCUGCCACUGACUUGUUGGAGCAAAUCAUCUCACCUCUCAGUGCAUCCAUUUUUUCCAUCUCUGAAAUGGAGGUAGUACUUCCCAAUCUGACUCUUUGGAAGCUUAAUUGUUUUUGUAAAAUAUUAGAAGCACGGAUGAAAGGUGGAAUAUUAGCAUUAAAAACAUUUGAGGCUGGGGUAAUUGACUUGUGAAGAAAGAUUAGAGGAGUUAAACUUGGUCAAAUGGCAACUAAUAGGGAUGUAAACAGUAAACAAAAAAGAGAGUGAAAUAGUUCGACUUCUGUUACUCUAUGGAAUUAUCUUCCAGUAGAAGUAGCAGAAGUCUCAUUGCUUGAGUAAUGUUAUUUAUUAUUAAUAAAAAUAAUGGUAACAAAUUGAGGACAGCCAAGCUGGGGCUCCAUUUUGCUGGGCACUGAAAGACAUGAGGAAAAUAAGUCGGUCCUGAAGAGUAUACUGGAGGAUAUAAUGUAGUGAACAAUCUUGAGGCAGUGGACUGGAUGUAUCUCAUAGAAAUUGGAGAUGAGACACAAGUCCUUCCAAUUAUUGGUACAUUUUUUUCUAAUUAAAAUUGUUGCACAUAUCAAAUGCCUUACACAAGGUCUUUUCAGAAGUAUUUUUCUUUGAAGAUAACCUCUGAGCUGAAAUCACUGACAAUCUAACAACCUAUUAAGGUGUGGCAAAUCAAUUAACCAUUUUGUGAAACGUUUCUUCUGUUAUAUCUCUUAUGGAGGAAUGUUACUUAGCUUCACGUUCUUUACUUAGAAAAAAUAGAGUCAAUAUAAUUUACCUUAUUCUUGAAGCGGGUUUUCUGCCUUUGCAUACGUAUGGGUGCAUUAUUUCUACGUAGUAACUUAAAGAUCAGUUCCUUACAUGUUUGUGUUCCUUGCCUCUGUUUGUUGUUUUUUUACACUGAAAGCAUCUUGGCUUCAUAGUCUUUUGUACAAUGAUUCAUGCUUUUCGUAAUUUCUUUGAGUUUGUGGUGGGUGAUAUCCAUGUAGAAGUCCUGUGACUUUAUUGCUGCAUCAGAGACACCAGCUUGACCAUGUAGUCCUCAUUGCUCAAAGAAAGCAUCUUGUUACAUUAGUUCUUGCAUAUCAGCAAGCUCAGGUGUAUUAGUGAAUGUUCUAGCAGAUGUCCAAGCAGUUUAGGAUAAGAGGCAAACAAUGGAACAGAUUCUCCUUUUUUAUGCCCAUGGAGCUCCACUGAACCCUGAAGAAGAGAAUUUGGCUAAAUGUUACUUAAAAUUUGAGUCACUGGUAACUUAGCAAGAAUAAGAUCUUUUUGAUUAGUGUCCUAUGCAAUGAUAUGAAAUACUUGGGUAUUUGAUUUUAACAAAAUUCGUAACUUUUAAUUUGUCUAAACAGAAUUCCUUAGGGUUGUAAAUCAACUUUCAAUAACUAUAAGUACAAAAAAAACUUUGGAUAUUUCUACCUUGUGGUCAGAGGAUGUAUAUACUUGGUCUGUGUUAUCUGAAUAUCAUUUAAUUUUCAAUUAAACUUCUCAGAUUUUUAAUAGCAAGCAUAAAACUGCUUUAAGGUCCCAAUCCUGGCACAAGCACUGCGUGAAGCUCCAUUUACAUCACUGAGAAAGCCAUUACUGACUUUUAUUUGCUGUCUCAGCAAGGGGCUAAUGAAGCAUAAAUGACAGCAAUACUAAGAACAGCCUUUCAGUUUCUUGACCUAAAUCUUUUAGUCCCCAUCUACCCUAAAUUUUUUCAGCAGUUUUGCUGCUGCUAGUCUGACACACGUGCUUAUGGUGGUGGAGGCAGUAAUGUCAUAUGAUGUGGUAAAAAGGGCUGUGCGCGAUUUACACUGGUGCUUUCACCAUUGCCAAUGUAGAUUAAGGGUAGGAGAACUGCAGAUGAUUUUGUGUGGGCUCAGCCUAUGCAUGAAAACCUUAAGAAACAAUUGUAGAAUCUUUAGUUUUUGAGUAUCUACUCAUGCCAGUAGUUCUAUUGACUUAAUUGGGAUUACUCAAGUGAGUAAAAGUUGCAGAAUUGGGCCAUUAAUGUUUAACAUGACAGGUUUAAUAUUUUUUGUAUUAAUUUUAAAGGAGUAUCUGGACAGUUCUAUGACUUGCCAAAAGAUGGCACUGUUUAACUAUGCUUACACCAAAAAUACUGUAAAGGAUAUUUUUCCUGAAGUCUGGUUAAAUACAUUAACAUUUAAGCUUAAAAAAAUACAUUUUAUUAGAUUUAAUUUUGUCACAUAAAGGAUCACACUACAAAUGGCUUUGUGGCUCAGGGACUAAUUUUUGCUUUCUUUGGGUUCAGAAUUUCAAAGGCAACACCUAUUAUGUGGAAGUAAGAUUCUGCUAAGUUUCCCACACAAUUAAUAAAACAGAAGCAUUUCUAUACAUUACGCUUGUAUAAAUAUCCUGGAAACUAUUGUUGCUUUCUUAAAAACAACUGAACUAUUGUUAGUUUAAAUAUAGUCACCAAGAAAACAAACCAAUGAUUGAUAUAGAAGGUCUUCCAAGAGUAGAGAAAUUUGUAUGACCUUGCUUAGUUACUGAUCCCUGUCGAUGUGUUUUCAUGCUUGUACCCUGACACCUUAUUUUUAAAGCCUAAAUAAACACUUAAAUUGCAGUGGUUGCGGCAUUUUUUUUUCUUUGUGGAGCUAUAUACUAAAAUGCGGAGAGCAUGAUGGCUGCCUUGCGUUACAUGCAAGCUCAAUAACUGUUCAUUCAUGAAAAAGAUGAUAUCCAAAUAAAGCUUGCUGGUGUUAAGACGUUAGCAACGCGAUUCAGCUAGGGCUUUGUGUCCAAUCAGCGUGGCAUACGUUUUUUUUCAUAAUGAUCAGCGUUAGCUAGUGGUUUUUCACUGGCGUACUAGAAGUAGAAAGUACUAAACUGUUCUGUUUUACAAACCAUAAUGGUUUGGUGUCUUUUAACGUUUUUUGGCAAGGCAAAUUUUCAGAAUUUUCAGGUUUUCACAGCCUUUGUGUUUGAAACAGAAAGGCAGCUUCUAGGACAUUAAUAACCUGUAGCUGAUGCAAGUUAAGAAUUAAUUUUUUCAUCGUAUCUGGAUUUGUACAGUUUUACAG